rnacentral:pre_miRNA from 1 species
AGUGGAAUUACUGGAUGGUGUGACAAGUGUACGUUUAACUUUAUAAGAAACUGCCAAGCUGUUUUCCAAAGUGAUUGUAUCAUUUGCAUUUCUACCAGCAAU